GAUGAACGCUGGCGGCGUGCCUAAUACAUGCAAGUCGAGCGAACGGACGAGAAGCUUGCUUCUCUGAUGUUAGCGGCGGACGGGUGAGUAACACGUGGAUAACCUACCUAUAAGACUGGGAUAACUUCGGGAAACCGGAGCUAAUACCGGAUAAUAUUUUGAACCGCAUGGUUCAAAAGUGAAAGACGGUCUUGCUGUCACUUAUAGAUGGAUCCGCGCUGCAUUAGCUAGUUGGUAAGGUAACGGCUUACCAAGGCAACGAUGCAUAGCCGACCUGAGAGGGUGAUCGGCCACACUGGAGCUGAGACACGGUCCAGACUCCUACGGGAGGCAGCAGUAGGGAAUCUUCCGCAAUGGGCGAAAGCCUGACGGAGCAACGCCGCGUGAGUGAUGAAGGUCUUCGGAUCGUAAAACUCUGUUAUUAGGGAAGAACAUAUGUGUAAGUAACUGUGCACAUCUUGACGGUACCUAAUCAGAAAGCCACGGCUAACUACGUG
rnacentral:rRNA from 1 species